GGCAACGUAGCAAAGUGGUUAAUGCGAUUGACUCGAAUUUAUCUACGAGGGUUAGAUAUCAAUUCCCUUCGGGGGCGUAGGUUCGAAUCCUGCCGUUGUCG